rnacentral:rRNA from 1 species
AUUGAACGCUGGCGGCAGGCCUAACACAUGCAAGUCGAGCGGAUGAAGGUAGCUUGCUCCUGGAUUCAGCGGCGGACGGGUGAGUAAUGCCUAGGAAUCUGCCUGGUAGUGGGGGAUAACGUCCGGAAACGGGCGCUAAUACCGCAUACGUCCUGAGGGAGAAAGUGGGGGAUCUUCGGACCUCACGCUAUCAGAUGAGCCUAGGUCGGAUUAGCUAGUUGGUGGGGUAAAGGCCUACCAAGGCGACGAUCCGUAACUGGUCUGAGAGGAUGAUCAGUCACACUGGAACUGAGACAGGGUCCAGACUCCUACGGGAGGCAGCAGCGGGGAAUAUUGGACGAUGGGCGAAAGCCUGAUCCAGCCAUGCCGCGUGUGUGAAGAAGGUCUUCGGAUUGUAAAGCACUUUAAGUUGGGAGGAAGGGCAGUAAGUUAAUACCUUGCUGUUUUGACGUUACCAACAGAAUAAGCACCGGCUAACUUCGUG